rnacentral:rRNA from 1 species
AAAACAUCUCUUUUUGAUUAAAAUAAUAAGUUGACUCUGCCCAAUGAAAUUUAAAUGGCUGCAGUAUUUUGACUGUACAAAGGUAGCAUAAUCAAUUGAUUUUUAAAUGAAAUCUUGAAUGAAAGAGGUGAUGAGAUAUAUACUUUAUUUAAUUUAUUAAUUGAAUUUAAAUUUAAAGUAAAAAUUCUUUAAUAUUUUUAAGGGACGAGAAGACCCUAUAGAAUUUUAUAUAAAUAAUAUUAUUUUUAUAAUUUAAAUAUUAAAUAUAUUUAUUUGGGAGGAAUAUUAAAUUUAAUAAACUUUAAUUAUUAAUUUACAUUUAUUAAUGAAUAUAUAUUAUUUUAUUAAUUAAGUUUAAAAUUAAAUUACCUUAGGGAUAACAGCGUAAUAUUUUUUAAGAGAUCUUAUUUAAAAAAAUGUUU